GCAGGGCUAUCGUAGCUGAUAUGUAGGCCGAUAAAUCAAGCAUGUGGUGAAAAUGCUCUGCUUCCAGAUACAGAUCGAUUUCUUUAAGCGGGUUGCCCUGGAUCUCUAAUUACUGCCACCCCACCAAGCCUUCGUAACCUUUCGGCCCAGCUGUCUAGAGAAGAGGAGCUGCAGUGCAGAACUCGGGAGCAACAGCACAACAAAGACAGGAAAGACGAUUGGUGGGAGCAGAUCGUCUGGACACUGAUGUUGCAGCCGUCCUGAUUAAACCUAGAGAUCCCGCCGGGAGGCUCUGAUUUCCCAGCCCUGACUGUUACUGUAGUGAAGUCAGCGCUGCAUGUCCUCACACAAGGCCAGUCAGACCCACUGGCUAUAGAAGGCUGAGUAAUGAAUGAAGUUUGACCAGUGCAACAUCUGCAGGAUGCAGGCAUGUUGUUACUUUGAACUGUAGCCUGUGAGGUCCUGCUGCCUCUUAAUGUUGUUGAAUAAAUCUGCCAGUCCAAUGUAAAUGUGUGACUUUUUAUUGCACUUGCUCUUUAAUAAAUACUUUAAUGCUUUUAAAAUCA